UACGAAGGGGGCUAGCGUUGCUCGGAAUUACUGGCGUAAGCGCACGUAGGCGGCUUUCUAAGUCGGGGUGAAAUCCUGGAGCUCAACUCCAGAACUGCCUUCGAUACUGGAGAGCUUGAGUCCGGGAGAGGUGAGUGGAACUGCGAGUGUAGAGGUGAAAUUCGUAGAUAUUCGCAAGAACACCAGUGGCGAAGGCGGCUCACUGGCCCGGUACUGAC
rnacentral:rRNA from 1 species